GAAAUGCGAUAAGUAGUGUGAAUUGCAGAAUUCAGUGAAUCAUCGAAUCUUUGAACGCACAUUGCGCCCUUUGGUAUUCCAAAGGGCAUGCCUGUUCGAGCGUCAUUUGUACCCUCAAGCUUUGCUUGGUGUUGGGCGUCUUGUCUCUAGCUUUGCUGGAGACUCGCCUUAAAGUAAUUGGCAGCCGGCCUACUGGUUUCGGAGCGCAGCACAAGUCGCACUCUCUAUCAGCAAAGGUCUAGCAUCCAUUAAGCCUUUUUUCAACUUUUGACCUCGGAUCAGGUAGGGAUACCCGCUGAUCUUAAGC
rnacentral:misc_RNA from 1 species